GAUGAACGCUGGCGGCGUGCCUAAUACAUGCAAGUCGAGCGAACAGACGAGAGUCCUUGCACUCUCUGAUUUUAGCGGCGCACGGGUGUGUAACACGUGUGUCACCUAUCUAUAAGACUGGGAUCACUUCGGGACACCGGCGCUAAUACCGUAUAAUAUUUAGCUUCACAUUUAACAAUAGUAAAAGACUCUUCUUCUGUCAUAUAUAUAUGUCCGCGCUGCAUUAGCUAGUUGGUAAGGUAACGGCUCACCAAGGCAACGAUGCAUAGCCGACCUGAGAGGGUGAUCGGCCACACUGGAACUGAGACACGGCCCAGACUCCUACGGGAGGCAGCAGUAGGGAAUCUUCCGCAAUGGGCGAAAGCCUGACGGAGCAAUGCCGCGUGAGUGAAGAAGGUUUUCGGAUCGUAAAACUCUGUUGUAAGGGAAGAACAAAUACGUAAGUAACUGAGCGUACCUUGACGGUACCUUACCAGAAAGCCACGGCUAACUACGUG
rnacentral:rRNA from 1 species